rnacentral:lncRNA from 1 species
UACUAACUAACAAUGGAGUUGCAGAUAUCCUUAUUCCAGGUCCUCAUCACCUUCUUCCUGGUUUUGUUUAUGGCAGCAAUCACUAGUAUGAGGAAAUCUAAAGCUAGGAAUUUAACUCAAGGGUUGAUUCCAGGGCCACGGAAAUUACCUUUGAUCGGAAAUCUGCACCAGCUCGCCGGUCCUGGUUUACCCCAUCACACCCUACGUGACUUGGCUACGAAAUAUGGCGCCAUCAUGCACCUGCAACUCGGUCAAAUUUCCACUGUCGUCGUUUCUUCUGCAGAAAUGGCUAAAGAGAUUAUGAAAACCCAUGAUAUUGUCUUUGCUAAUAGGCCUGUUCUCGCUUCGGCUAAGAUUAUAACUUACGGGUGCACUGAUAUUGUCUUUUCACCAUAUGGAAACUAUUGGAGAAAUCUGCGAAAAAUUUGCACAUCGGAGCUUCUGAAUGCGACUCGGGUCGCUUCCUUCCAAUCCAUAAGAGAAGAGGAAGUGCUGAAUCUCGUCGAAACCAUAAAAUCAAAUGAAGGAUCGGCUGUAAAUCUGAGCCGCAAAGUCUUUUCACUGAGUUAUGGCAUAACAGCGAGGGCAGCCUUUGGCAAGAAAUGCAAAGAUCAAGAAGCCUUCAUAUCAGUUGUUACAGAGGAAACCAAGGUGAAUUCUAGUUUCUUUGUUUCCGAACUUUUUCCUUCACUUAAAUUUCUGGAUACUGUUUUGGGUCAAAAGCAUAAAGUUGAAAAGAUUCAUGGAGAAGCUGACAUGAUACUUGGGAAUAUUGUUAACGAUCACAAAGAAAGUAGAGCAAAAGGCAGAAGUAAAGAUGAAAACAAGGAAAAUCUGGUUGAUGUUCUUUUAAGGAUUCAGGAGGAUGGUGAAUUUCCCUUGACUGACAACAACGUCAAAGCCGUCAUCUUAGUGAGUCCAUUUUCUUUUAUUACAUUGACCUGGAUUUUGGUAGUUGUUCACAAAUUUUAAUGGCCAUGAUGUUAUUUAUUAUGUUGUUUUAGGACAUUUUCAGUGCCGGAAGUGAGACAUCAGCAGGAGCUGUAGAGUGGGCAUUGUCGGAAAUGAUUAAAAACCCAAGAGUUAUGACAAAAGCACAAGCAGAGGUAAGGCAGGUAUUCCAAGGCAAAGGAAAUGUAGAUGAAACAGGCAUUCAUCAACUUAAAUAUCUCAAGUGUGUUAUAAAAGAAACCUUAAGACUGCACCCUGUUAUACCUUUAUUGAUUCCAAGAGAAAGUAUGAAGAAUUGUGUGGUUAAUGGAUUUGAAAUACCUGCAAAGACCAGAGUCAUUGUGAAUGCAUGGGCAAUCGGGAGAGAUCCUAAUCAUUGGGUUGAGCCUGAAAAGUUUGAGCCUGAAAGGUUUGUCAACAGUUCAGUUGAUUUCAUAGGGACAAAUUUCGAGUUCAUCCCAUUUGGGGCAGGAAGGAGGGUAUGUCCAGGCAUAUUAUUUGCUCUGCCAACUGUAGAGCUACCGCUUGCUCAACUGUUGUUCCAUUUUGAUUGGAAGCUACCAAGGGGAAUGAAGCAGGAAGAUAUAGACAUGACUGAGGUGUUUGGUGUAUCUGUGAGAAGGAAAAAUGAUCUUGUCCUAGUUCCAAGUCUUUACCGUGCUUCCACUACUGUUGCCUAGAGGCAGGAACAACCUUAGCUUAUGCUGCAUUAUUCUAUUAGGUAGGGAUUGAAUCUCAAAGUUGUUUGUUUGCUUAUAUAUGUAUUGUUAUUUAGCCUAAUAGCCCACCACUUUAUAUUUGUAUUUAUAGCCGACGCUAUCAGUGUUCAUGCUUCUUGUGCAUGGUAAAUGUAACUGUAAGGGCCAAUUUCGUCCGGCUAUCAGAGGCGGCGGUCUCUGUUGCCAAUGACCGACGGUCAAGGUGAAGCCCCACCGCCCCUAUGACCGACCUGGGGAUAAUGAGAGAAAAGAAAAAACGAAGGAAGUUAAAAAAAAAAAAAGAACAGAGCACAAAAUUUUUUUUUUCAAAUUUUUUUAACUUAAAUAGGGUGUGUAUAACACCCCUUACCCGAGAAUGUCACCGGAAUCGAGUACGAGAUGUCAUCCAAUUUAACUUACCAAAUUGGAGCAUAAAAAUUUGCUUUUAAAAUUAAAUUUACUAUUCACAACAAAACUGUCCACCUGCGCGACUGUCGCUAAUUUAAUUAUAUCUUGAGUUACAAAACCCAAAAUUUAAAUCCGUAAAUUUUCCCUGAAACUAGACUCAUAUACCUUCUUACCAUAAAAUUUUUAGAAUUUUUGGUUUAGCAAAUUAGUACAGUUUAUUCAUUAAAAUCUCCCCUGUUUCACUACUUGACAGUUCUGACCUCUUGGCACUAAAAAUAAAUUAUAUCAUUGUAAAGAAUUAAUAUAAGGUUAUCAUUUGUUUCUUUUGAAAAUAGACUCAUUAAGGAAUCUAGACAUAUAAAUUAUGACCUAUAAUUAUUUCUGUACAAUUUAUAAUGAUUUUCUAAAUUCAGAACAGGGGACUUCAAAAACCAUUCUGACCCUGUCUCACUUAAAUUCAAAUAUCUCAAAAUAUAAAAUUCCUUUGCCUACACCGUUUCUUUCAUGUAAAAAUAGACUUGAUAAGCUUUAAUUCUAUAUAUCAUUCACUCUCUAAUUCCAUUUCUACUAUUUAUAGUUAUCAUUUACCCAUACAUAACACCAAAACAGUCUUUACUAACCAUUUCAAUAACUAAUCUUAGCCAUAUCAUAUGAACAUACUCAAAAUGAUUAAGACUCUAUACAUGCCAUAGCUUUAAAUGUUUUAAAAACACAUAAUACCUAGAUAUCUGUUGAUAGUGUGAUACGAGCUCCGACGAUCUCCAAUUCGAGCAAGCUCGAAACACUAUAAAACAAGGGAAAAGAAAAAGGUAUAAGCUACUAAUAGCUUAGUAAGUUACAUGUAAAUAAUAGGUACUCAUUUAAUAAUUAACACUUUUAACAUAUAACUAAUCAAAACAUUUCUUAGCAAUUUCAAUCACUUACACAUGCACAAUCUUACCAAUUCACUUGCAUAUACAUUUUCACACUUAACCUUUAUCACAUAUGCUCAUUUUUUCAAUUGUACCAGCAUACACACUUCAUUUCAUAUUCACUUUAACUCAUUAUUAAUCCCAUUGAAUACUCGAAAUAUACACGGAUACGUAGAGAAUUAGCACAUAAGUGCCACACUAAUAUGUAGCCGAAGCUACCACUGAUAUGUAGCCGCAGCUACCACUGAAAUGUAGCCGAAGCUACCACUGAUCAAUAACACUGGAAAUGUCCACGGGCCUGCUCACACAAGCUGUCAGGUGUCUGCAACACAUGCUAGAUCACCCAGCACCCGGGACUCACUGUAACACUGUAACACUGAUCUCUAGUGACAUGUCACUUGUAUCCACUUCUAUUCAUAAGUUCAACCGGGAAUUUACACUUAACACUUUAUCACUUGAAUAAUUCAUGAACAAUUUUCCUUCCACAUUCAAUAUUGAUUCACAUAUCAAUGUAAUUCACAAUUUAUAAAAAUAUAUUGCUAUUAUCUACACAUAACUUACCUCGGAUGCAAAAUGACUAUUUUUGUAAAUUAGUCGAUAACCUUCUCUUUUCCCCGAUCACUUCCACUAUUUCUUCUUUCUUGAUCUAUAUUAACCCAAUUUAAUGCAUUUUAUCAAUAUUUCAUUCAAAUACAACUCAUACACAAUAUUUUGACGAACUUACAUUUUUUUCCAUAACUUUUUAAAAAUUCUACUUUUGUCCCAAAGCUCGUAAAAAUAAAAUUCACUAAAUUCUUAAAUUUCAAACUUCACUAAAUCAAUUUCAUGCUCAUAACAGCCCCCAAUUUCAUAAAAUCACAACUUCAUGCACACUUUACCAUCUUUCACAAUUUAGUCCAUUUUCAACAUUUUCAUUGAAAUUCAUCUAGUAAAACUUGUAAUUAACACUUCAAACAAUCAUUAUCUAACAUCACUAAUCAAUUUACAAUUAUAUCAUGAAUGGGUCAAUUUUUAAACUUUAAUUUCAUUUAAAUUAAAUGGUAGAAACAUGAAAUUCAAGCUUCAAUAAGCAUAAAAAUACGAAAAUAAUUAAAAACGGGGCAAGAAAUCACUUAUAAUUGAGCUUAGAAAAUCAAGAACCCUAGCUAUGGUGACAUGAAUUUUUUUUUGGCAGAAAACGUCUGAUUUUGAAGAAGAUGGACACUUAUUUUCACUUUAUUUUGUCUUUUUCUCAAUUUGGACAAAAAUGCCCUUGACCCAUUACUUAGAUAUUUUCCUAGAAUUACCCUUUUGUGUCCAUAACACUAAUUUAUUGUCUAGUUGUCACAUAAACACUUCCAAUUUCAUGCAAUAAUUCAAUUAAGUCAUUUAAUCACUAAUUAGACACACUUUACAUUUUUCUCAAUUUAGUCCUAAAAAUUCAAUUAGGCACUAAAUCAUUAAAAUUUCCAAUCCAUAUUUUCACACAAUAUUCCAAUCAAUCACUAACUAAUAAAAAUUUAUAAAAUUAAACUAUUUCACUUCGGAUUUGUGGUUACGAAACUACUAUUCCGGUUAGGCCCUAUUUCGGGAUAUCACAGUGUGCGACACGACACCAUUUGGUCUCAAAAGCCCCAAAAAAACGUCGUUUUUAUAUAGCCUGAAGACUCAACCCGCGUGCUUUUUUAAGGACGGGAUAAUUUCUGCCUAAGUCCUUCCACUUUUAGGCACUUUCAAUGUUGUCUUGAAUUUGAUUUUCUUUUUCUUUUUAAAUUCCACAAUUUAAUUUAAUUUUUUUUUAUUUUUGGUCCUCUUACCGUUGACCCUUUGGGGAGUGACACAUGUAUAGAGGAUUAGGAUAAUUGUCCUUUUAAUCCCUACAUUUUAAUUUAUUUUAAUUUAUCCUUUUUUUGUUUUUCUUGUCAUUUAUACUUUCAGUUUCAUUUAGUCUCAAUUUAGUUUUUUAUUUAUUUAAUUCACCCCCUUUAUUUUCGGCUUUUUAAUUUCCAGCACUUUUAAUUUAUGACUAUUUACAUUUUGGCCCCUUUAAAUUAUGCAAUUUUUAUUUUCAUCCUUGAGUGGUUAUAUUUUUUAAUUUUUGUCAUUAAAUAUGGUGUUAAUUAUGUCAUGGUUAUAAUUACUAUUAUUACUAUUAUUAAUAUCAUGUUAUUAUUAUCGUCAUUGACUAUUUUACCCUCAUUACCAUUACUACAUUCAUUUUAUUCUUUUAUUAUAAUAUUAUUUCAUUUGUAUCUAUGUAGCUAUUUUAUUUUUGCCAUUAUUUUAUUGUAUAUUAUGCUUACAUACACUUGUUUAUUUUGUACCACGCUCAAAUAAGUUAAUCGCAUGUAGCAUUAGUGUAGCAUCGGUUUUUGAACAAUGCAUAAGUAAUCUUUAAAAUCGAGGCAAUGUUCUUUAUCUAGAGGACCCGAGAAGUUGUGCCCCUAACUCAUGGGGUAUGACAUUUUCCUCAAACCAAUGUAAUUGAACAUCCUUAUUAAGAUCAAAAUUUAUAAGGUUUAAAUAAAAAUUAGACGAUAAAUACUCUUUAUUCUCGGGGAUUCAUGAUGUUGUGCCCCUAACUUACGGGACACAACCCUUAUUCUUAGUUGACUCGAAAUAUAAGAGGUCGCAUUUUAAAUUCUUCUCAAAUUCUCAAUUUUCGACAGUAAGACAUCAAUCAACUAGGUACCAAUUUUGGGCAUUAUGAGGGUACUAAUCCUUCCUCAUACGUAAUUGACUCCCGAACCUACUUCCUAGAUUUUGUAGACCGAAAAUCACUGUUUUAGUAAUUUUACUAUUUUAUUAAAAUGAUUAAAUUUCGAAGUAAUCCAAUCACACCUUGAUAAAAAGAUUGGUGGCGACUCUGUCUUCGUAUUAAAAUAAAAGUUGGGAGGCAAGGAAAAGGUUUCGACAAUAACAUUAUUAUUUCUAUAUUUGUUUAAUGUUGGUAGCAGUAUUUGUGUUGUGCUCGUAUUUUCCUUUUAUAUUUGUUAUUCUCUGAAAGCAGAAGGAGGGUUGGUGGAAGGAGUUUAUUUUUGUGGAUCAUUAUUCAUUUCAAUACAUAGAGGGGGUUAAUUCCUUUGUUGACUUAAUUCGCGUUUCCAACAGUGCUAUGUUAAUCGCUUGGUCUUUCCUCCUCUCCGUUACCACCCUAUAGUUUCUUUCCCCUUUUUUGCCUUUAACGUGCUUAAGUUGUGGAAUUGAAUAAAAGACUUGUAGAUCAGAAUUGAGUACUGAAAUAUGAAGUUGCUAAAUAAAAGUAUAACUUAUAAAGAUAAUUUUUUUAAAUAGGUUAUUAUCAUAUAUGUUUUUUUUUUCUUUUUUUGUAUAAUGUUUCGGCGCAUUUUCAAUCCAUGUACUCUUACACUAGUAUUAAUGCCUAAAUCAAUCGAAUUAAAACUCAAUCGGUAAAGCUAAAUCAUUUUUAUUUUGGGAUAAUAGGUGAUAAUAUCACAAAUUAAAAAAAUUUUAAAUUUAAUGUGAUUGAAAUAAUAUUUAAAUUUGAAUAUUUUUGUUGAGACAGAUUUUAAGUAGUGGCUGGACCAAUGUCAACUGAUUGGUACUAUUUACUUAGAAAACUUGCCAUCGUUAAAAUUAACUAUAUCUUGGAUGACAAUUAGUCCAUUCUUAAUAUUUAAAUGAAAGAUAGCAUUUAUUUGAAUUUGAAUAAAAGGAAUCAACUUCUUAAAUUUAGGUAGAAGUUGAAAGUAUUUACUGAAGAUUCAAGACUUAUCUUAAGUAAUUUUGAAGGUAUUAUUUAUGUAUAUUAUUAUGCUAGUUUCAAGGAAAGAUUGAUUGUAAUUGAUGUGAUAUACCAGCAUGUCUAAAUUACUUAUAUAUUGUUGUGACGUGUAUAAGUUAUACACCAAAUUAAGAGCACUUUAUUUUGUUCAUUUUUUAAGGGGGAAAACUUAGAGGAGAGUUGUUUGGAUCUUAAGUACAAAAAUGAAAAGUCUAAUUUGGUGUAUGUUAGAGGUUGAAAUCACUUGUUGUACAAUGUGUUAACAUAGUGAAUAUUCUUUUUGAGCAAGGCCCUAAAAAUGUAGGGAAAACGAACUACAUAAAAUAUAUAAUGUAUUCAUCGUUUUUUUUUUUUGCCUUGUUCUUUUUCAGUGCUUGAUGCAGUUGAAACUAAUCUUAAUACUGCUUGUUUUUUCCCUACAAAUAUCAAUUUUGGAGUCAACAAAGUGAGACCGAUUGCGAGUAAAGGAGGUUCUUGAUGAGUGAACAAAAACAUAAAGAUGAUGGGUGAAUGUUAGUGAUUUAGCAACGUGACUUGACAGAGGCAAUUGUGUUAGUUAGCUGGCUUGUUAUAAUUAGUUUGAGUUAAUUAUAUUUGAAAUAGUAUGUAUAAAUACUCUUGAUGUAAAAAGAGCUUAAAUCAAUGUAUCGGUUUUUAUCUAUUGUUCAAAGUUCGUCUACUGAGUUCUAAGUUUCAUUUUGUGAUUGUCAAAAUUUAUUUUCUUUUCACUACAUAUUUUAGUCUUUUCUUUUAUUUCCAUCUUUUCACUCAACCAAUCACAUUCUUAGCGUGAUUAGAUUGCGGAAUUCAAUAGAGGCAAAAAGCGAAAGAGUUGUAUUAGAAUUACUAAAAAUAUCGAGAGAGUUUGACAUUAAAAUUCUAAUAUUAGAUCUCUAAGUUUAUCAAGUUAGGUGAUAUAUACUUAAGAACAUUAAUGAAACUGUAGGGUUGUAUAUGCAAAUAACCGAAAGAAAUUAGAAGCCUUAGCUAAAUCAUAUUUAAGUAACAUGCAUGUUUUGGAUGUAUUUUAACACGCAAAUUACGUAUACAUGAUUCAAACACCAAAGCAUCAUUUAUAUGUUAUAUAAAAUAAGCUUAUGCCUUAUCUUCAAUUUUAUAUUGCCACAAAUCCCAUCUUUCCAUCCACCACAAAUCCCAUCAUCAUGCAUGUUUUGGAUGUAUUUCAACAUGUGUUCUAUGCUCUCUUGGUGGCUUUGGCGAAAAGGGAGAUUCAAUCCUCUAUGAUUAAGGUGGGUAGGUGCUGGUAAAACUUCAUAUGUGCAUUUCCACAUGAAAAUUUUAGCUUUGGAGGCAGCUUGCUUUUCCUUUUCUUAUCUGCAUGUUGAGCAUGUUGGGUUAAUGUGCUUCUUCCUGUUACCAAUUUCAUAAACACUUGUUACUGUCAACGCUCCGUAUUAUGUUAUAAUAUGUUUAUUUUUUAAAAUUAAACCAAAUAUAUAUUAUAAAAUUUUAUAAAUUUAAGUCUUCUAUUGUGUGGGAGAGUGCCUCUUAUUUUGAUCAAACAGUACACCUCGUCCCGGUGAGCAACAAGGCUUCGUCCCGAUGACAUAUCAAGCCAUGUCACGACGUGUAGUCCAAAUUUUUUGACUUUUUUUUCCCAGUUAAAUUUUGUUUUAGUAUCCCAUUUAAAUUCUGAUUAUCCUAGUGUUCUUGUAGUCAUAUAUGCUACGAAUUUCAACCUAUUUAGUUACUUCAGGUUUUACAACAACAAAAAUAUUUAGAUUGAGAGAAUUUUGUUCUUUGUUUCAAAAGAUUUUUCUUGCGGAGCUUCGGGUUUUUUUUUUAAUUCUCUCCAUUUUUUAUACUCUCCUUUAUUAUAGUGAAAUCUCCUUUUGCCUAUAGUUCUUUAUCCUUAUUUAAGGAGUUUUUUCACGUUAAAUUUUGCGUGUUCGAUCUUUUCAAUUCUAUUUAAUUUAGGGUCUGUUUGAUUGACGGAAUUGAUUUUCCGGAAAAUCAUUUCCAACUUUUCCAGCGUUUGAUUGGCGGAAAACAUUUUCCAUUUGGAAAAUGAACUCCAAAACAAGGGAAAAUGGGUUACAUUUUAAGGAAAAUGUCUUACCCUUUCAAUUUCCGUAAGACAUUUUCCGUGCUCUCUUCUCUAUCGCCUCCUUCAUCCCUUCCUUCAUUUCCGGUAGAAAAUUAUUUCUGUUUAUCGAUUUUCCAGUAAUUUGUUUUUUUAAUUAUUCAAUACUUAUUUUUUUAACAUAAUUACAAAUAAUUUAUUUGAUAUUAAUUUUUUUCAAUUUAUAACGAUUAAUAUUGUAGCUUAAUAAUUGAGUAUUAUUAUAAAUAAAUCAUUGCAAUAUAUGUAAAAAUAAUUUAAAAUAUAAAAAUUUAUUAAUAUAUAUUAAUAUAUGUAAAAACAACUUUUCCAGAAAAUAUUUUCAGGAAAUCUACCAAACAGCAGAAAAUAUUUUCUAGUAAAUCAUUUUACAGAAAAGUAAAACAUUUUCCAGAAAACAUUUUACUGGCAAUCAAACAGACCCUUACUUGUUCGUUGCAUACAGAGGUUAAUUUCUAAUAUAUUGAAAUAAGUGAAAACUAAUUUUUUUACCCUGUUCAUCACACUAGUAUUGUAUAUUUAAUUAUUUCUUAAAAUUUUCAUAAAUUUUAUAACGUUUCACUAAAAUUAUGGUUAUGAAAUUAAGACAUAAUAAUAUAUAAGUUUAAUUAAAAACAUGAUAAUUGAUAUUAGAUUGAAUUUGAAUAAAUAAUAUUUUAAAAUAUAAUUUUAUAUAUAAUUUCUAACUUAAUUUUAAUUGUUAAUUAUUGAAUGUAAAUUGUUGAUUAAAUUUAAAUAUUGUAAUUACUAAUGAAUUUAUUGCAACACUAUUUAUAUUUUUAAAUAUCUAUUUCAAUCUUAUUAAUGUAUGUGACUGCUGCAAUUAAAACUCAUUCUGCAAUUCUAUGCCAUAUGCAACAAUUUUUAUUGUAAUCACUACAACAAAAUAGGCCAACGAUGACAUUUUUUUUACUUAGGACGACGUAGAAAAAAUUGACAUAGAUUAUCUCGACGAUUCCAAAAACAUCGUUGUUAGCACCGUUAGUAUAGGUACCGCAACGCUUUGGAAAAAGCGUUAGCAUAAUUCAAUAUAGGGCGUCGACCUUUUUGAAAGGUUGGCAAAGAUCUAGUCAAUGCCAACCUUUAAAAAAGGUUGGGAUAGGAGGAAAUAAGUGACCCAAAAAAGGUCGGAAUAAAGCAUUCAUAUACCUACUUUUAAAGAGUUGGGAUAGACCACUCUAUGCCACCUUAAAAAGGUUGAGAUUGACUCGUCUAAGGAAACUUUAAACAGGUUAGGAUAAGCCUUACCUGUGCCAACACCUUACAUAGUUGGUUUAGAUCCCAUUUUUUUAUGACUUUUUUUCCCGACUUUUGAAGAGCCUAUUUUGGUGAAAUAUAAGCAAAUUUGUAUGUGUUGAGUUUGGAUAAGUUCGAGACGAUAUUAAUUGAAUAGUUAACUAACAUAUACUAAUCAUAUUAAUACAAAAUUACCACUGAAUAAUGAACUUAUUAGUUUAUAUACAAAAUCCUAAUAGAAGCAGUCAACACGUUGACAACAUGGUAUUAGUUUGUUGUCCAUUACAUCACUUGGUAAUUUGCAUUCAGUGAAUGUGUUGCCAACAUGUUGUUUACCUGUUUCCAAUGACAUCAAAAAAUUCUGGGACAAUUGCAUUCAUCAACUGCUCUAACAUAUAUAAUAUGCAGCAAGCCUCAUUCAUCAUCAUCCGAACUAAAUGCCUCAUCAUCAGGCCUUCUAGUUUAAAAUUCAACUACAUUAACAAGUGCUAAAGUAACAAUGUAAUUUUUCUAUUUAAAUGAGUUAGAUGAGAAACAACAUGAACACAUGGGAAGAAUAUUUCAGUAAUAGCCAAAGAAUCAUAAAUUGAAGCUAAAUCAACAAUUUUCAUCAGUAUAUCCAUUAAUUAUUGGUUGAGAAAACAAUGAAGACAUCAAAUAAGAAGCUAACGUUCAGUUACAACACAAACAAAUAGCCAAAUAACAACAAUCGAUCUAUAUUAAACCAUCAGGAAACUUAUUGACAAUCUAGUUCUAUUAGUAAGUAUUCACUUACUCGAUGUCCCGUUUACCAUACAAUCGUUGAGGAGAGCCUUAUACUUCUUCUUACGAGCAUCCAUCAUAAGCCUUCUUCAACAACCCAUUUCGUCGCUUAGAGAAGGUGACUUUCCCUAAAAGGAUGCAUUCAUUUUUAAGGCUUCCCACUUUCAAUUGUCUUGCAACAUAUUAAUAUAUAGUAAAGGGUUUGGUUUGCAAUUGUUUAUAACAUGAUUAAUACCUUGGAUUGAAAAUCGUUUUUCGAACAUAGCUGCGAUGUUUAGUUCUGCAACAAAUUCAGUUAUGGACCCAAUGAUGAAAAGUCUACCAUCGACAUUUAAGUAGACAAGGUUUCUUUGGAGGUAGGCUGCUCCAACACAAUCCAGAACAACAUCAACACAUGCCAUUAAUGGUGGAAGACAAAAUUUCUCUUCUUUUCAAUGUUAAAAACCUCUAACAAAGUCGAUUUUAAACACAAACCCUAAAAGCUUAAAACAACAAAAAAAAAAUACUCACCAAAAAUUAAGAAGAAAAAAUACUUCAAAUGGUUCUGGUUGAGCUCAUAUAUAUAAAGGAAAAUUGUGUAUAGAUAUUCAAUGGAAAUUAUAUUUUAAGGAAAAUCCAGAUAGAUUUUCCAAUGGAAUUCACAAAUUAAGAAUAUACUACAGUCAAUAGAACAAAAAAUUUAUGGUUAAAGGAAGAAGACAGGAAUAAUCAAAGUUGUAAAAAUGGCAACAAAUGAACAAAAAAAAAUUCAAAAAGCCCUAAAAGGAUUAACAUAACAAAAAAGAAAGAACUUAUCUGAUGAAACAAGUACAACCCAGAGAAAACAGGUGAGAAACAGCCCACAAGGAAAUGAAUAAACCCAGAGAAUGAUAAAGAACAGAAGAAGACUAAAGAAGGAAGGAGGGUUUGAUACUUUAAUUUAGAGGGUCGAGGGGUUUGAUUUUGGGAGAAGAAAUGAAAUAGGACCAAAAGGGUUUUGGGUAGAUGAAAAAUAAUAAUAUAAUUUUAAUUUAUUAAAAUAAUAUAUUCGAUUUAUUUAAAUUAUUCGAAUUUAAAAAUUUAACUUGAUUUGAACUUAAAAUUUAAAAAAAUUUCGAGUUGAUUCAUUUAAUUUGAAUAACUUGAAUCAAACAACUCAAAAUUUAAACUUUUUUUUUUGAUUUUUUCAAAUCGAAUCGAACACAGUUUUUGUUUUGUUUUUUUAGACAUAGUCAGAUUGGAUUUCCAUUUUUAAAAGCCGAAAAUAUUGAAUGGAAAUUCAGUUUGACGGUAUGUUUUUAAGUGUAAUUUAUUUAUUUUAAAGUUUUAAAAUUUAUUUUAAUUUUUAAUAAUAAUUAUAUGUAAUAGUAAAAUACAUGACAUUUUUUAAACAUGGAAAUAUCAUUUUAUUACAAAAACUGUGGAAAUAAUUUGAAAUCAUACCGGUAAAUGAAAAGACACGUCACCUGUAAUUUUCGCCUUAUUUCCCCCAGAGAAGAAGAAGAACAAAUCAGUUCAUUUGAUAUUUUCCUUUCGAGCUUGUCUUCUUUAUGUUACUAACUAACAAUGGAGUUGCAGAUAUCCUUAUUCCAGGUCCUCAUCACCUUCUUCCUGGUUUUGUUUAUGGCAGCAAUCACUAGUAUAAGGAAAUCUAAAGCUAGGAAUUACCUUUGAUCGGAAAUCUGCACCAGCUCGCCGGUCCUGGUCUACCCCAUCACACCCUACAUGACUUGGCUACGAAAUAUGGCGCCAUCAUGCACCUGCAACUCGGUCAAAUUUCCACUGUCGUCGUUUCUUCUGCAGAAAUGGCUAAAGAGAUUAUGAAAACCCAUGAUAUUGUCUUUGCUAAUAGGCCUGUUCUCGCUUCGGCUAAGAUUAUAACUUACGGGUGCACUGAUAUUGUCUUUUC